rnacentral:rRNA from 1 species
AUAAAGUGGCGAACGGCUGAGUAACACGUGGGCAACCUGCCCUUUGCACUGGGAUAGCCUCGGGAAACCGAGGUUAAUACCGGAUACUCCAUAUUUGUCGCAUGGCGAAUAUGGGAAAGCUCCGGCGGCAAAGGAUGGGCCCGCGGCCUGUUAGCUAGUUGGUGGGGUAGUGGCCUACCAAGGCAAUGAUGGGUAGCCGGGUUGAGAGGCCGACCGGCCAGAUUGGGACUGAGACACGGCCCAGACUCCUACGGGAGGCAGCAGGG